AGGGUUCACAGUUAAGGUGGGUGGAAUAGUGUAACAAUAUGGCCGACGUGUUGUUAUGGUAUUCCACCUUCCCUGGCGUGCCGCCUU
rnacentral:pre_miRNA from 1 species